rnacentral:rRNA from 1 species
GAUGAAUGCUGGCGGCGUGCUUAACACAUGCAAGUCGAACGGAAAGGCUCCUGCUUGCAGGGGCACUCGAGUGGCGAACGGGUGAGUAACACGUGGGUGAUCUGCCCUGCACUUCGGGAUAAGCCUGGGAAACUGGGUCUAAUACCGGAUAGGACCAUCGUUUAGUGUCGGUGGUGGAAAGUUUUUUCGGUGUGGGAUGAGCUCGCGGCCUAUCAGCUUGUUGGUGGGGUAAUGGCCUACCAAGGCGUCGACGGGUAGCCGGCCUGAGAGGGUGUACGGCCACAUUGGGACUGAGAUACGGCCCAGACUCCUACGGGAGGCAGCAGUGGGGAAUAUUGCACAAUGGGCGCAAGCCUGAUGCAGCGACGCCGCGUGGGGGAUGACGGCCUUCGGGUUGUAAACUCCUUUCGCCAGGGACGAAGCGAAAGUGACGGUACCUGGAUAAGAAGCACCGGCUAACUACGUG